UUAUUGAGCACUUAUUAAUUAUUGGGUGAAAUGUUGGACAUAGAACUAAUCAAUGUAUCCCUUACCUCUAGGAGAAGCUACGCUUUCAUUUUGGCAGCUCAACGUGUGACUGAAGACUCAAUCUGUCCAAUCUAAAAAAACUACCACCAGCCUCAAGAACUGUGGGCAGCUAAGAAAAGUCUGAGCACAACCAGUCUGACAUCUCUUCUCAUGGAUUCAGGACAUCACAACAAACCUCACUAACUUGCCAUGCUACGUCCUGAAGACCUAGGACCUACACUGAAGUAGGAUGUUGAGGAUCUGAGCAUUGGAGACAGACUGCAUGACUUUAAUUCUCAACUUUACCACUCACAGGCCAUGUGACCUUGAGCAAAUUACUUAACCUCUCUGUCUCAGUUGCCUCAUCUGUGGACCAGGAAUAAUAAUAGGAUUACUUUGCAUGGAUUCAAUUAUGUAUACCUAUAAAAUGCCUAAAACUGUGUUUGACACAAAGGAAAUGUUCAAUAAUAGCUAUUCUUUUUAAUGUAUGUUUGCCUCCAUAAUAAAUGGCUCCUGACCGCUGUA